rnacentral:lncRNA from 1 species
CUUCUUUUUAUACCAAAUGACACUGUGAGACACUGUUGUGGUGCUGUGAAAGUAUUUCUUUUUUCUUAGGAGAAUUUUCUAGGAUCAUACUAAAAGUAUAUGAAAUCCUGGAUGCAUGGGUACUCAUACUAUGGCUCAUUGCUCUUUAAAAAGAAAAGAAGAAGAAAGAAUCACUUGUGAACUUAGGAAGAGAGAACAAAGUGACAGCCAUAGCAGAAAUAACAUUUAUAUUGUGAGAAUAUACAUUCAAGAGUUUAAAAAUAUAUUUAAUAAAGAAAUUUUAAAACAAAAACACCUGUGAAAUGAAGCCCUGCAUAUAAGAGAUAACUCAGAACCUCGUAUGUUUGGAAAAAUAUGAGUGAUUUGUAAAAAUGUAGAAGUUAAAGAACUGUAAUCAACUGGUAAGUGAUUAACAGUGUUGUCUAGUAAUGAACGUAAUUUCAGAAUAAUUUUUGCUA